rnacentral:rRNA from 1 species
AAGGAAUAUUGGUCAAUGGACGCAAGUCUGAACCAGCCAUGCCACGUGAAGGAUGAAGGUCCUCUGGAUUGUAAACUUCUUUUAUCUGGGACGAAAACGGGAUUUUUAUCUCAAUUGACGGUACCAGAGGAAUAAGCACCGGCUAACUCCGUGCCAGCAGCCGCGGUAAUACGGAGGGUGCGAGCGUUAUCCGGAUUUACUGGGUUUAAAGGGUGCGUAGGUGGGCUUAUAAGUCAGUGGUGAAAUCUCCGAGCUUAACUUGGAAACUGCCGUUGAUACUAUAGGUCUUGAAUUAUCUGGAGGUAAGCGGAAUAUGUCAUGUAGCGGUGAAAUGCUUAGAUAUGACAUAGAACACCAAUUGCGAAGGCAGCUUACUACAUAUAAAUUGACGCUGAGGCACGAAAGCGUGGGGAUCAAACA